GACGGUACUUGAGGAAUAAGCCACGGCUAAUUCCGUGCCAGCAGCCGCGGUAAUACGGGAGUGGCAAGCGUUAUCCGGAAUUAUUGGGCGUAAAGCGUCCGCAGGCGGCCUUGUAAGUCUGUCGUUAAAGCGUGGAGCUCAACUCCAUUUCAGCGAUGGAAACUACAAGGCUUGAGUGUGGUAGGGGCAGAGGGAAUUCCCGGUGUAGCGGUGAAAUGCGUAGAUAUCGGGAAGAACACCAGUGGCGAAGGCGCUCUGCUGGGCCAUAACUGACGCUCAUGGACGAAAGCCAGGGGAGCGAAAGGGAUUAGAUACCCCUGUAGUCCUGGCCGUAAACGAUGAACACUAGGUGUCGGGGGAAUCGACCCCCUCGGUGUCGUAGCCAACGCGUUAAGUGUUCCGCCUGGGAGUACGCACGCAAGUGUGAAACUCAAAGGAAUUGACGGGGGCCCGCACAAGCGGUGGAGUAUGUGGUUUAAUUCGAUGCAACGCGAAGAACCUUACCAGGGUUUGACAUCCUGCGAAUCCCUUGGAAACGAGGGAGUGCCUUCGGGAGCGCAGAGACAGGUGGUGCAUGGCUGUCGUCAGCUCGUGUCGUGAGAUGUUGGGUUAAGUCCCGCAACGAGCGCAACCCACGUCUUUAGUUGCCAGCAUUCAGUUGGGCACUCUAGAGAGACCGCCGGUGAUAAACCGGAGGAAGGUGUGGAUGACGUCAAGUCAUCAUGCCCCUUACAUCCUGGGCUACACACGUACUACAAUGCUACGGACAAAGGGCAGCAAGCUCGCGAGAGUAAGCAAAUCCCAUAAACCGUGGCUCAGUUCAGAUCGUAGGCUGCAACUCGCCUACGUGAAGGAGGAAUCGCUAGUAAUCGCAGGUCAGCAUACUGCGGUGAAUACGUUCCCGGGCCUUGUACACACCGCCCGUCACACCAUGGAAGUUGGCCAUGCCCGAAGUCGUUACUCCAACCCUUGUGGAGGAGGACGC
rnacentral:rRNA from 1 species